CUACCUACGCUAAGCAAAAUAGUUCCAAAACUUCGCAGUAACUCCAAAAAUCAUAGUUCCCUGUCUAUUUUAAAAUUAACUGGCCAAUUAUGUACUAAAUUUUGCAAUCGUUUUUUAAAAUUGUAUGUAUAUUUUUGCUUUACGCGAUUUUAAUAUUACUACACCAGCGGUCGAUGGUAGCCAAAGUACUUGCAUAAAUAUAGUACAAAUUACAUGUAGUCACAAGUUAAUUAAGUGUCUUAGAACUCAAAAAUUUAGAAAUUAAUGGAAUACGGAUUUCAGAUCAGCUAACUUUAAAGCUUAAAAUGCUUCAUAAGUGUAAAUUUAAGAAAAACAUUGCAUGCGUAUGAAUACGAACUAUUUUCGCCCUAGCGUCAUUUUCCCGGAAUCGCCAUUGUUUACAUGUUCAUCCGUGAAAGAUUGAGAAGUUUUGCUGUUAAUCAAGAAGUUCCACGUGUUAAAACGAGUUGUGUGUGAUGUAACAUUUUAAUUGUGGCACAGUUGGUUGUUUGCUGAGAAGCUGUGAAACAUAAUUAUACAGGCCAUUUUUCACUUCAGGUGUGUGAUGUAACAUUUUAAUUGUGGCACAGUUGGUUGUUUGCUGAGAAGCUGUGAAACAUAAUUAUACAGGCCAUUUUUCACUUCAGGUAUGUGAUUACAGACUUGACAGUGAGAUUUUGAUUGUGACAAGGUCAUUUGUUUGCCAAGAAUUCUUGAAAUCUGUGAACUGCAUAGAUGUGUAGACCUGUGUGAAAGCUUAUGGUUAAGACAGUCGGUGUCAUUGAAAUCAGUUUACUGCUACUUUGUACAGUGGUACCAAAAAGAUGGUAAAUUGGUAGUAUUCAGUUCCGGGCAAACAUUUUCUUCAAGAGGUUCUUGUCAGAUUGAUGAGUGUGAAAUUAAGUGGACCCAUUUUGAGAAUGCUUCUAUGAAUUGUAUCAAAGAGGUAAAGUCUAACAUGUGAUACUGUCAAUGUGACUAACCUUGAAGUAAACAGAUGACACAAUGUUUUUUCAAUGUCAUGGGCAUAUAAUGAAGAGAAAACAGAGAUGCUUGUUCGACAGAUACAGUCAUAGUAGCAGUAAUGAGGGAAGAUAGAUUGCAGUGUUAACUAUAUUGAGACAAGAACAUGAGAUGACUUAUCAAUGUUUUCAAUGUGAUUGAACACCCAUUUUAAAUAAUACAGCUCGGAGUGA